rnacentral:lncRNA from 1 species
ACUUGUUUCUUCUAUAUUUAGAGCAAAUAAAGAAGAGUAAAAACAUUUUCUUGUCUUUCUCUAUUUCUUUUGUUUCUCGUACCAACUAACAACAAUGAUAAAACGGAUUUGUUAGCAUGAAAUAUAUGUGUAUAUAUAAACAAUGUUGACAACAAAAAAAAAAAAAAAACACUUGACAUAAAUAUAACGGGCUGCAUAAAAUAAUUUUUGCUAUACACAAAUUAAAAUCAGGGUUGUUUGUUUUGUAUUUCUAUCCAAACAUGCAAAAUAAUUAUUCAGUUUCUCUAUCAAAUACAUUAUGUUAAAUUUUGAUAUUUAAGGUCUUAUAGAAAGUACAACAUUCAUUGUACAAGAGGAAAUACAUUGGCUGCGUAACUGCGUUGAAGUCGCCUUAUGCUCGCAAGGUUAUCAAUAAGAAAGGAAAGUGCGGC